AGGAACUUUCCCUAGGAGGGAGGUUUCAUAAGCAGAAGAAAUUUCACAGCAAGAGGUGGUGGCACCAGCACGCAAGAGCAUGUGACAGCUCUAUCGUGAGACAUAGGCCAUGCUCAAUUGCAACAGUAGGAAGAUGACAACACAGGCUCAGAGGGAAAUUAGGAAGUUCUCAGUAAGCUAGAUGUGGGGGAAAGGUAGACACUCUUCAAAUAAGGCUUGCUGCCUGGGUCCACUACCACUGCAUGUUUCUGUGUGAGAAGACAAGACUUUCUCAAAUGCCAGGAUCUGAGAGAGGCGACAAUAUGCACAGUUAUUAAGCUGCGGGAAAACACCUGCAGGUGUAAACCAUGUCAAGUGUUUAGAACAGUGCCUGCACACAAGCCAUGACCGAAAAAUGUUCAACUUAUAGCCACGCUCUGGUGCCCUCAAGAAGUUUGUUUAGAGGGCAAAAGUAGAAGAAGAGCAGCAGCUGCGGGGGCCUCAUGUGAACUUGGACAAGGGACAUCUCUGCACCACGCUAUUCAGAAAGAAGCCCAGAGGAGUCUUCCAGAUGUGCUGACCCUGGGCUUCUGCACCACUGCAACACCUGUAUGGACUCAUUUCCCGGAUUCUGUUGUCCUGUGGCUGCAUCCUGUCCUCACCUUGAAGCGCUCAUGGACCGUGGCAGGGAGAAAUAUUAAUGCGUCGAGCAUGUUGGAAGGCACAAAGGGAAAUGAGCCGGCAUCUUCAUUGCACCACUUUAAGGAAUGA
rnacentral:lncRNA from 1 species